rnacentral:rRNA from 1 species
GUGGGGAAUCUUCCGCAAUGGACGAAAGUCUGACGGAGCGACGCCGCGUGAGUGAUGAAGGCCUUCGGGCCGUAAAGCUCUGUCAUCGGGGACGAACGGCCUCAGCAGGUAAUGGCUGGGGAUUGACGGUACCCGAGAAGGAAGCCACGGCUAACUACGUGCCAGCAGCCGCGGUAAUACGUAGGUGGCAAGCGUUGUCCGGAAUUAUUGGGCGUAAAGCGCGCGCAGGUGGGAUCUUAAGUCCAUUUUGAAAGUUCGGAGCUCAACUCCGUGAUGGGAUGGAAACUGGGAUUCUUGAGUACCGGAGAGGAAAGCGGAAUUCCCCGUGUAGCGGUGAAAUGCGUAGAUAUGGGGAGGAACACCAGUGGCGAAGGCGGCUUUCUGGACGGUGUCUGACACUGAGGCGCGAAAGCCAGGGGAGCGAACGGGAUUAGAAACCCUUGUAGUCC